rnacentral:rRNA from 1 species
UACGUAGGGGGCUAGCGUUGUCCGGAAUCAUUGGGCGUAAAGAGCGUGUGAGGCGGUCCGGUAAGUCCGCUGUGAAAGUCGGGGGCUCAACCCUCGAAUGCCGGUGGAUACUGUCGGGCUAGAGUGCGGAAGAGGCGAGUGGAAUCCUGGUGUAGCGGUGAAAUGCGCAGAUAUCAGGAGGAACACCAAUUGCGAAGGCAGCUCGCUGGGACGUUACUGACGCUGAGAACGGCGAAAGCCGUGGGGGAGCAAACAGG